UACAGAGGAUGCAAGCGUUAUCCGGAAUGAUUGGGCGUAAAGCGUCUGUAGGUGGCUUUUUAAGUCCGCCGUCAAAUCCCAGGGCUCAACUCUGGACAGGCGGUGGAAACUACCAAGCUGGAGUACGGUAGGGGCAGAGGGAAUUUCCGGUGUAGCGGUGAAAUGCGUAGAUAUCGGAAGGAACACCUGUGGCGAAAGCGGCUCACUGGACCAUUACUGACGCUGAUGCACGAAAGCUAGGGGAGCAAACAGG
rnacentral:rRNA from 1 species